ACAGCAGCAGCCGCGGUAAUACGUAGGUCCCGAGCGUUGUCCGGAUUUAUUGGGCGUAAAGGGCUCGCAGGCGGUUUCUUAAGUCUGAUGUGAAAGCCCCCGGCUCAACCGGGGAGGGUCAUUGGAAACUGGGAAACUUGAGUGCAGAAGAGGAGAGUGGAAUUCCACGUGUAGCGGUGAAAUGCGUAGAGAUGUGGAGGAACACCAGUGGCGAAGGCGACUCUCUGGUCUGUAACUGACGCUGAGGAGCGAAAGCGUGGGGAGCGAACAGGAUUAGAGACCCGUGUAGUCCCUGUCUCUUAUAA
rnacentral:rRNA from 1 species